rnacentral:rRNA from 1 species
AACGAACGCUGGCGGCAUGCCUAACACAUGCAAGUCGAACGAGACCUUCGGGUCUAGUGGCGCACGGGUGCGUAACGCGUGGGAACCUGCCCUUAGGUUCGGAAUAACUCCCCGAAAGGGGUGCUAAUACCGGAUAAUGUCUUCGGACCAAAGAUUUAUCGCCUUUGGAUGGGCCCGCGUUGGAUUAGCUAGUUGGUAGGGUAAAAGCCUACCAAGGCGACGAUCCAUAGCUGGUCGGAGAGGAUGAUCAGCCACACUGGGACUGAGACACGGCCCAGACUCCUACGGGAGGGAGCAGUGGGGAAUAUUAGACGAUGGGCGCAAGCCUGAUCCAGCAAUGCCGGGUGAGUGAUGAAGGCCUUAGGGUUGUAAAGCUCUUUUACCCGGGAUGAUAAUGACAGUAACGGGAGAAUAAGCUCCGGCUAACUCCGUG